rfam:Picea glauca, whole genome shotgun sequence.
GGGUGUGAUCAUACCAGUGUUAAUGCACUGGAUCCCAUCAGAACUCUGCAGUUAAGCACGCUUGGGCUAGAGUAGUACUAGUAUGGGUGACCUCUCAGCAAUUCCUAAUGUUGCACCCU